GACGUAGGGCGCGAGCGUUGUCCGGAUUUAUUGGGCGUAAAGAGCGUGUAGGCGGCCAAGCAGGUCCGCUGUGAAAACUCGAGGCUCAACCUCGAGACGUCGGUGGAAACCGUUUGGCUAGAGUCCGGAAGAGGAGAGUGGAAUUCCCGGUGUAGCGGUGAAAUGCGUAGAUAUUGGGAAGAACACCGGUGGCGAAGGCGGCGACCUGGUCCUUGACUGACGCUGAGGCGCGAAAGCGUGGGGAGCAAACAGG
rnacentral:rRNA from 1 species